GACGAACGCUGGCGGCGUGCUUAACACAUGCAAGUCGAACGGAAAGGCCCUGCUUUUGUGGGGUGCUCGAGUGGCGAACGGGUGAGUAACACGUGAGUAGCCUGCCCUUGACUUUGGGAUAACUUCAGGAAACUGGGGCUAAUACCGGAUAGGAGCUCCUGCUGCAUGGUGGGGGUUGGAAAGUUUCGGCGGUUGGGGAUGGACUCGCGGCUUAUCAGCUUGUUGGUGGGGUAGUGGCUUACCAAGGCUUUGACGGGUAGCCGGCCUGAGAGGGUGACCGGCGAAGUGGGGAGGGAGGAAGGGCCGAGCUACCGAGGGGAGGAAGAGGGGGGAAGUUUGGAAAAGGGGGGGGAAGCCGAAGGCGACAGCCCGGGGUGGGGGAAGAGGGCUUAGGGUUGGUAACCCGCUUUCGCGUGUGAGGAGGGGUGAGGGGGGGAAAGGGGAAAGGAAGCCCGGGCUAACUAGGUG
rnacentral:rRNA from 1 species